rnacentral:rRNA from 1 species
CCUGGCUCCGUUAAGGGCUAGCUACAGGCUUAACACAUGCAAGGCGAGCGUUAGCAUGGUCUUAGCUUGCUAAGGCCGAUGGCGACCGGCGCACGGGUGAGUAACACGUAUCCAACCUGCCGUCUACUCUUGGACAGCCUUCUGAAAGGAAGAUUAAUACAAGAUGGCAUCAUGAGUCCGCAUGUUCACAUGAUUAAAGGUAUUCCGGUAGACGAUGGGGAUGCGUUCCAUUAGAUAGUAGGCGGGGUAACGGCCCACCUAGUCUUCGAUGGAUAGGGGUUCUGAGAGGAAGGUCCCCCACAUUGGAACUGAGACACGGUCCAAACUCCUACGGGAGGCAGCAGUGAGGAAUAUUGGUCAAUGGGCGAGAGCCUGAACCAGCCAAGUAGCGUGAAGGAUGACUGCCCUAUGGGUUGUAAACUUCUUUUAUAAAGGAAUAAAGUCGGGUAUGGAUACCCGUUUGCAUGUACUUUAUGAAUAAGGAUCGGCUAACUCCGUGCCAGCAGCCGCGGUAAUACGGAGGAUCCGAGCGUUAUCCGGAUUUAUUGGGUUUAAAGGGAGCGUAGAUGGAUGUUUAAGUCAGUUGUGAAAGUUUGCGGCUCAACCGUAAAAUUGCAGUUGAUACUGGAUAUCUUGAGUGCAGUUUAUGCAGGCGGAAUUCGUGGUGUAGCGGUGAAAUGCUUAGAUAUCACGAAGAACUCCGAUUGCGAAGGCAGCCUGCUAAGCUGCAACUGACAUUGAGGCUCGAAAGUGUGGGUAUCAAACAGGAUUAGAUACCCUGGUAGUCCACACGGUAAACGAUGAAUACUCGCUGUUUGCGAUAUACGGCAAGCGGCCAAGCGAAAGCGUUAAGUAUUCCACCUGGGGAGUACGCCGGCAACGGUGAAACUCAAAGGAAUUGACGGGGGCCCGCACAAGCGGAGGAACAUGUGGUUUAAUUCGAUGAUACGCGAGGAACCUUACCCGGGCUUAAAUUGCAGAUGAAUUACGGUGAAAGCCGUAAGCCGCAAGGCAUCUGUGAAGGUGCUGCAUGGUUGUCGUCAGCUCGUGCCGUGAGGUGUCGGCUUAAGUGCCAUAACGAGCGCAACCCUUGUUGUCAGUUACUAACAGGUUCCGCUGAGGACUCUGACAAGACUGCCAUCGUAAGAUGUGAGGAAGGUGGGGAUGACGUCAAAUCAGCACGGCCCUUACGUCCGGGGCUACACACGUGUUACAAUGGGGGGUACAGAGGGCCGCUACCACGCGAGUGGAUGCCAAUCCCCAAAACCUCUCUCAGUUCGGACUGGAGUCUGCAACCCGACUCCACGAAGCUGGAUUCGCUAGUAAUCGCGCAUCAGCCACGGCGCGGUGAAUACGUUCCCGGGCCUUGUACACAACGCCCG